UAUUUUGUACAAAUUACGAAACUGCCAAAACAUCAUGAUUGACAAGAUCGUUUUCUCUUGGUAGAGUUACCUCAAGCGCCGUUCUCUUUUUGCCAUUUUGAGAAGCGGACAAAUUCUCACAUUUUUCUCUUAAAUUCCAGAAAUAGUGAGACAUUAAUAUAUAGCACCUAUUUACUUUAUCCUUUAUGCAUUUUUCUACGUUUCGUUAAUUCAGUUUCCUUUAGUUAUUUUACUCAUUGUUAUUAAAAAGUUGACUGACUGACCGUCGCAGAGAAACAAUGUCGCGUUAUGUCAGUGUUACAGUUCCUUGUCCUUUUGUGUUUAAUGGCCUCAUAUUUAUAAUACAGACAGAUGGGAGUCACAGCAGACACAUUAAUCGAGAAGCAUAUAAAAUCAAGAUACGCCGAAUGCAAGAAGAUUCGUCAAUUUAAAGCGAAUUUUAUAGAAAAAACUGGAAAUUAGUCCUUAUAGCACUUGUUAAAAGGUUUUCAAUCCGUCACAGAACAAUCUCAAGGAAGCCCCAGUAGGCCACAGGCUUACGACCUUGGAUGCAUUAAUUCGGAUACGGUGGAGAUUACUGCUUUUGACAAAUCAACAUCUUAUCAUCAACCUUAAAAGAAACCUCUGUUGACGGCCAUGAUCUCAGUUUUGUGAGGAGAACCAAAGAGCACCUUCUACAAGCAGGAACAGUGAGUGAGCCUUAGAAUUCUCGUUCUUGUUACGAGUGUCAGCUUGUCACUACUAUUACCUAUUAUGAAAUUAGACAU